rnacentral:rRNA from 1 species
UACGUAGGGUGCAAGCGUUAAUCGGAAUUACUGGGCGUAAAGGGUGCGCAGGCGGUUCUGUAAGUCAGAUGUGAAAUCCCCGGGCUUAACCUGGGAACUGCGUUUGAAACUACAGGACUAGAGUGUGGCAGAGGGAGGUGGAAUUCCAUGUGUAGCAGUGAAAUGCGUAGAGAUAUGGAAGAACAUCGAUGGCGAAGGCAACCUCCUGGGUUAACACUGACGCUCAUGCACGAAAGCGUGGGGAGCAACAGG